AGGCCAUGGUGAGGGCAUUCUUGGAGUAGAUCCUUGAAUCUCUCCAUAAGUUUGGAAAAUGACAGACUUUUGCCUAAACUGAAGGAUAUCACUUCUAAGCUU